rnacentral:rRNA from 1 species
UACGGGGGGGGCAAGCGUUGUUCGGAAUUACUGGGCGUAAAGGGCUCGUAGGCGGCCAACUAAGUCAGACGUGAAAUCCCCAGGCUCAACCUGGGAACUGCGUCUGAUACUGGAUGGCUUGAAUCCGGGAGAGGGAUGUGGAAUUCCAGGUGUAGCGGUGAAAUGCGUAGAUAUCUGGAGGAACACCAAUGGCGAAGGCAGCUCGCUGGGACGUUACUGACGCUGAGACGCGAAAGCGUGGGGAGCAAACAGG